UUGUGGAACAAAAGUCGAUGAAAGUCAUCACAAGUUACAUUCAUAAGUUUUACUGAAACUUUGGGUCAAAUGUAACUGCGAUUUUCUCCCAAUAUACUUAGAGUUAUGGGGUGUUCCACCCAUCAAAUUAAAGAUCUAUGAGUCUAUUUUCCAACUCAUUAAACCUUUUGUCAAUACGACAUUUAAGUAGAAAGAUAUGGGCAUUUGUGCGAUACUGCGCAAGCUGCUAGGUGACAAGUAGGUGUGUCACCUACUUGCUUAAAUGAUAGCCCAAAAAUGGGCCAUUUCGGGUCGUCCAAAGAGGCCUUUUAAGGGCCUAUUUUCUUCAUAUAUUAGACUUAAAAUAGAGCAUAAUAACCAGACAUAAGCUCUGCAAAGAAUCCUCCCAAAAAUUUCCCACAAACCCUAAUUGAUUUUCUCUCCCUUUCAAGUUCUAAUUGGAGGCAAAACCUAGAGUUUGAAGAACCAAGAUAAGAGCUGAGUUAUCCAACAAAUAAGGUGAGUUUACUGCUCUCUUUCAUCCAAUUUUUCUUCUGUAAAUUCAUGGUAAGUCAUUCUAUACUUGUAAGAACUCACGGGACGGUGAUCGGAAGCCCUGAGUUCGAGUUAUUCACUUGUAGCGGACUGUUUUGUGGACUAUUUUGUGUUGCUGUUGGGCUGCGUGUUUUACUACUAUUUUGUGGAGUUUUGGAGGAGGAAGGGGGUUUAUAAACACCAUAUAAAUUUAGGGUGGUUGGCUGGUCGUUCAUCAUAACAUUUUCGGGUCGUUUGACACUACUACGGUGGUCGUUUUGUGUACGAAUAGAUUGGGGUGUGUUGGGCUGUUUUGUAGUAUUUGAUGGUGUAUAUAGGGCUGUAAAAUGAUGUAUAUAUGUUGUUAUUGUUCUGUUCUUGUAUUGUUGGUGUUAUCUUGAAUUUGGAGGAAGUAAGGAUUAUAGGGGAGAUGCUGCCCGUUUUAAUACAAAAUAAGUUUGUCGUUCGUUGUGCGAUAGUUGUACCUUUCAUAACUUAACGAUAGUAUUAUUAUCAUUCUUGUAGAUUAAGGUGCAAAGAGGUGAGUUCAACUUGGUGAUUGGAAAUAUUGUGAUAAGGUAUGUUAAGGCUAAGCCUUCCUUCAUUUUGGCAUGAUCUCGUAGCUACAUGUGUUAGUAAUUAGACAAAAAGAGAAGUUCAUAUUCAUGAAUUUAUCCACAGUAUUCUAGUCUCAUAAGUUACAAUAUUAUUCCUUAUCGAGACUCUAUAUUCAAUUUUAGUAUUGUCUUCUUCCAGUCAAGAGAGCAGCAAGCCUAUAUAUACAGUAUUACAGUAUUUUCAUUACCAUCGAGCUAUAAUCGAUGGGCAGGCCCC
rnacentral:lncRNA from 1 species